CCUACGGGAGGCAGCAGUGGGGAAUCUUGGACAAUGGGGGCAACCCUGAUCCAGCCAUGCCGCGUGAGUGAUGAAGGCCCUAGGGUCGUAAAGCUCUUUCGCCUGUGAUGAUAAUGACAGUAGCAGGUAAAGAAACCCCGGCUAACUCCGUGCCGGCAGCCGCGGUAAU
rnacentral:rRNA from 1 species